rnacentral:rRNA from 1 species
GUCUCCCUACGGGGGGCAGCAGUGAGGAAUAUUGGUCAAUGGUCGGGAGACUGAACCAGCCAAGCCGCGUGAGGGAUGAAGGUACAGAGUAUCGUAAACCUCUUUUGUCAGGGAACAAAGGCGGGGACGUGUCCCCGGAUGAGUGUACCUGAAGAAAAAGCAUCGGCUAACUCCGUGCCAGCAGCCGCGGUAAUACGGAGGAUGCGAGCGUUAUCCGGAUUUAUUGGGUUUAAAGGGUGCGCAGGCGGUCUGUUAAGUCAGCGGUAAAAGCCCGGGGCUCAACCCCGGCGAGCCCGUGGAACUGG